UGGGGAAUAUUGCGCAAUGGGGGCAACCCUGACGCAGCAACGCCGCGUGCGGGACGACGGCCUUCGGGUUGUAAACCGCUUUCAGCAGGGAAGAUAGUGACGGUACCUGCACAAGAAGCCCCGGCUAACUACGUGCCAGCAGCCGCGGUAAUACGUAGGGGGCGAGCGUUAUCCGGAUUCAUUGGGCGUAAAGCGCGCGCAGGCGGCUCUUCAAGCGGAACCUCUAACCCCGGGGCUCAACCUCGGGCCGGGUUCCGAACUGGAGGGCUCGAGUGCGGUAGAGGCAGGCGGAAUUCCCGGUGUAGCGGUGGAAUGCGAAGAUAUCGGGAAGAACACCGAUGGCGAAGGCAGCCUGCUGGGCCGGCACUGACGCUGAGGCGCGAAAGCGAGGGGAGCGAACAGG
rnacentral:rRNA from 1 species